UGUGUGUGUGUGUGUGUGUGUAAUGUCGUCCAAUAAGAUUCACAGGAAGCCCACUAAACAGUCAGGACCUAAGAGGCUGGGUGGAUUCUCCUCUCUGCAAGUUACAAUCUCCUCACGGGGCUUUCUAAUGCGGGGUGGGGUUUGUCGCCCCCUCCUGGUCAGACUGGGGAAUGGCAGUCCCCUCAGGCUUUGCAGGACCCACUGAGGGGACCAGAGGCUGUCAACCAGCACCAAGUGGGGCUCCUCUGCCAUCAGAGGAGUGCUUGAGCUGGCUGCAGCCCAUCUCCGCAGCCUCGGUUCCCCAACUUUGGUAGACACCUCAUUCUUUCCAUCCGAAGCAGGUUGGUUGGCGGCUCUGAGGCUAAGGGAAGAGGUGGAAGUAUCCCCGCUCUGAAAACCGCGCUGGCUUUCUGUGCCUUAGGUUUCCUCAUCAGGCCGGCAGAGAAAAGAGGGAUUUGCUGUGUUGGCCUGCGCUCCAGGACAAUUUUUAUUCGCGUUUGAGACGAACACCAGGCAAGCAAGCUGUAAACCUUGGCAGCUGCCCAGAGGAGGGAGAUGGAGGAAAGAAAAAAAUCACAGGGCUUGAAAGCAACCUCCUGGAUGGAGGUGGGGGUGGGGGGUAGCUUCAGAGAAACAGCGAGGAAACCCAAGGAAGGCAGGGCCAGACUUUGGGAGAAGAGAAAGAAGUUACAUUUCCCAGAGUGACCCAGAAUGCUCAGCUCACAGUGGCAACCCCACUGUGACUGACCACUUGGGCUGUCUUAUCUACCAUUUUUUUUUUUAAUACUGUGAAUGACAGUUCCUGGAAAGAACUGCACGUUCCUUGGAGCCUUCUGCAAGGCUGAUGAGCUGCUCAGAGCCGCAGUGAUGUGGAGCAGUUGGAAUGUGGCGAGUCCAGAAUCAAGCUAUCCUGGGGCAUCUUUUUGCUCCCUUUAUGGCCGUUCAUUAUACUCCUCUGCAUAUGACUUAACAACUUUGUGACCAUUAGGUAAAUCCUUUGGAAUGUAUGAAUAGAUCUCUACCUUAGCUUCCAACCAACCAAAGGGCAAAGAAUGGCAGCUGAUAGCAUCUGAGGCCUAUGUGGUUUCCCCUGCUUUGCCGUGACCCCCUUACCUAGUGUUCUUACCAAUGCCUUUGCAAGUGCUUUGAUUUAUGACUUUGUUUGUUCUGUUGCUAUAAAAACGUCAUCGGACGGUUACCACAUUCUGUGACUGGCCCCCAGAACUUAGCACAACUGACACCAUAGUAGAGGCGCCAUACUGAUCUUAAAACCUAGCACAUAGGCCUCCCAAACCUGCCAAAGUCGGAACAAAGACCUAAUCCAUCAAAGACCUGGCUCAUUGUUCAGAAAAGUCCCUAAAAGAACUAACCUUGCUUUCUGGCUGGCUGAAGUGUGACAACCUGGAUGAUGUAAUGUUGUGCAUAAAAGACCCAGCAAGGGCUGUUAGAGUCGGGCUGCAUGGUUUGGGCAAGUGGUUUGUGCAGCUGCCAGCCAGCAAUAAAGACUACUUUUCAGCUUUAAGAGUGUCCAUAUGGGGGCUGGAGGGAUGGCUCAACAAUUAAGAGCACUGACUGUUCUUCUGAAGGUCCUGAGUUCAAAUCCCAGCAACCACAUGGUGGCUCACAACCAUCAGUACAGCUACAGUGUACUCAUAUACAUAAAAUAAAUCUUUAAAAAAGAGUGUCCAUAUGGUAGUCUCUGGUGGGCUUGCCUUGUAACAGUUGGAUCAUGGAGUUUGGGGUAUCCCAAAUCUGUAUUGUUGGCUCUAUAAUAAGGUAAUUUUCUUCCUUCC
rnacentral:lncRNA from 1 species